rnacentral:misc_RNA from 1 species
AAAAUGUUGAAAUUACCAGGUAACUUCGUACUACCAAUACUAUUCGCAGCCAUUGUGAACGUAGCUUUAAAAGUAUAAACGCCAAGUAUGUUUACAAGUCAGCGUUCACUCAGAACCAGUUUUCAGUUUCAAGGAAUUGACCGUCGUCAGAGGAUCGAGAAGCCCCCGUGACUUGCAUUUGGACUUCGUCUCGUCUGCUUCUCUCUUCGACUCGGACCAUUUCAUCCGAGUAACAUUAAUCGGCAAUUUCCAGCAGGAAUAUCGGGUCAAGAUUUUUUAAAGGGCGCGAAGCAAUUAAAUGGUCCGUGCUUAAUUGAUCAUUCGGCCGCGUUCGUCUCAUCGAUGAAGAAUAGUAGCCGCUGGCAAGUUUCUCCGAUUCGCUUAAAAUUUUCGUCGGAUUAUUCGCGACCUGUUGGGAAAAACGCGCCAAGUGUUUUUAAAUACAUCAAGGUGAUUUGAAAAGUGGAAACGAAGCAUUCGAUCUAUUUCCAAGAAUUAUUCAAUCUUCUUAUGUAACACCAGUUAUAAAUGAAGUUCCACUUAUUCGGUAAAUGUAAUAUCCGACACCUGAUAUCCGUGUAAUAGAUUCCAUAUCCUUUUCAGCUCUGUUAAUAAAUCUACCCCUUGUAGAUCCGAUAUUCUUCUUCAUUUAGGAUUUCAGCUUAAUUGCAAUUUCUAUCGAUCGAAUUUUCAGUAUAAAAUUACAGUCACUCGUAAGUCUUGCCACGUCUCUUAUUUCAAAUCCGCCA